AUUGAACGCUGGCGGAAUGCUUUACACAUGCAAGUCGAACGGCAGCACGGACUUCGGUCUGGUGGCGAGUGGCGAACGGGUGAGUAAUGUAUCGGAACGUGCCCAGUCGUGGGGGAUAACGUAGUGAAAAUUACGCUAAUACCGCAUACGAUCUAUGGAUGAAAGCGGGGGAUCGCAAGACCUCGCGCGAUUGGAGCGGCCGAUAUCAGAUUAGGUAGUUGGUGGGGUAAAGGCCCACCAAGCCAACGAUCUGUAGCUGGUCUGAGAGGACGACCAGCCACACUGGAACUGAGACACGGUCCAGACUCCUACGGGAGGCAGCAGUGGGGAAUUUUGGACAAUGGGCGAAAGCCUGAUUCAGCCAUUCCGCGUGCAGGAUGAAGGCCCUCGGGUUGUAAACUGCUUUUGUACAGAACGAAAAGGUUUCUACUAAUACUAGGAGCUCAUGACGGUACUGUAAGAAUAAGCACCGGCUAACUACGUGCCAGCAGCCGCAGUAA
rnacentral:rRNA from 1 species